rnacentral:rRNA from 1 species
GACGAACGCUGGCGGCGUGCUUAACACAUGCAAGUCGAACGGAAAGGCCCUGCUUGCAGGGUACUCGAGUGGCGAACGGGUGAGUAACACGUGGGUGAUCUGCCCUGCACUUCGGGAUAAGCCUGGGAAACUGGGUCUAAUACCGGAUAGGAGCCAUUUUUAGUGUGAUGGUUGGAAAGUUUUUUCGGUGUAGGAUGAGCUCGCGGCCUAUCAGCUUGUUGGUGGGGUAAUGGCCUACCAAGGCGGCGACGGGUAGCCGGCCUGAGAGGGUGGACGGCCACAUUGGGACUGAGGUGCGGCCCAGACUCCUACGGGAGGCAGCAGUGGGGAAUAUUGCACAAUGGGCGCAAGCCUGAUGCAGCGACGCCGCGUGGGGGAUGACGGCCUUCGGGUUGUAAACUCCUUUCGCGAGGGACGAAGCUUUUUGUGACGGUACCUAGAUAAGAAGCACCGGCUAACUACGUG